rnacentral:lncRNA from 1 species
UGCUGGGUUCAUGGAUCCACCUGAGAAUGGACCAGCGGCGAGGAUGUUGGCACCAACGAUAAGACCAAUGGCCAGAGGAGCAAUGGUUCCAAGAGAACCUUUCUUGGGAUCAGCGGCGGUGGCAUAGACUGUGUAGACCAAAGCGAAGGUGAUGAUGAUCUCCAUCACAACUCCUUCAAUGGCUCCUACUCCAGCCGCAACGCUGUGUGUUGGAACCGCCUGCGUUUUCACAUAGUUUAAGCGUUUGUUUCAUUAGUAUCUAACUAUUAAACAGCCUCAAGAACUGUAUACUCGAACAAAAGAAAACUAAAAUAAUGUUCUUUCGAAUUAGACAAAAAGUGACAAUAUUAUAUAACUUCAAUUUUUAAACAAACAUGUGUUUAACAUAUGUUUUUUUUUUGAGAAAGUGUCUAAUAUAUAGUUAACAUAAACUACAGAAAUGGACAAAAGAAAUAUUGAGAAAACUCUUUUCUUUUCUUCAAACUUGUUAUAUAUAUUGUAACCUAGUUAAUAAUCUAAUUAGAUUUGCUUUGUUGACCUGCAAAGCUACAAAAACAAGUUUUUGUUACCUGAAGGCUUUAUUUUGCUAAAAAUUACAAGUAGAGAUUUAAUAUAGUUGACAGAUUUAUUCUUCCUUUUAAUGUAAACAUUUUGCUUUGUUUUUAGGUUGUACCAGUGGAAACUAUACAAACUGUGAUUUUAAUUAUAUUAAUAAGGAUGCUGUGAUGAGGACAUACCAAGCCACCGGUAACGAACUUAAGAAGGAAGCAAGCGGCGGUGGAG